AUUGAACGCUGGCGGCAUGCCUUACACAUGCAAGUCGAACGGCAGCACGGGUGCUUGCACCUGGUGGCGAGUGGCGAACGGGUGAGUAAUACAUCGGAACAUGUCCUGUAGUGGGGGAUAGCCCGGCGAAAGCCGGAUUAAUACCGCAUACGAUCCACGGAUGAAAGCGGGGGACCUUCGGGCCUCGCGCUAUAGGGUUGGCCGAUGGCUAAUUAGCUAGUUGGUGGGGUAAAGGCCUACCAAGGCGACGAUCAGUAGCUGGUCUGAGAGGACGACCAGCCACACUGGGACUGAGACACGGCCCAGACUCCUACGGGAGGCAGCAGUGGGGAAUUUUGGACAAUGGGCGAAAGCCUGAUCCAGCAAUGCCGCGUGUGUGAAGAAGGCCUUCGGGUUGUAAAGCACUUUUGUCCGGAAAGAAAUCCUUGACUCUAAUACAGUCGGGGGAUGACGGUACCGGAAGAAUAAGCACCGGCUAACUACGUG
rnacentral:rRNA from 1 species